GAUGAACGCUGUCGGCGUGCCUAAUACAUGCAAGUCGAGCGAACGGACGAGAAGCUUGCUUCUCUGAUGUUAGCGGCGGACGGGUGAGUAACACGUGGAUAACCUACCUAUAAGACUGGGAUAACUUCGGGAAACCGGAGCUAAUACCGGAUAAUAUUUUGAACCGCAUGGUUCAAAAGUAAAAGACGGUCUUGCUGUCACUUAUAGAUGGAUCCGCGCUGCAUUAGCUAGUUGGUAAGGUAACGGCUUACCAAGGCAACGAUGCAUAGCCGACCUGAGAGGGUGAUCGGCCACACUGGAACUGAGACACGGUCCAGACUCCUACGGGAGGCAGCAGUAGGGAAUCUUCCGCAAUGGGCGAAAGCCUGACGGAGCAACGCCGCGUGAGUGAUGAAGGUCUUCGGAUCGUAAAACUCUGUUAUUAGGGAAGAACAUAUGUGUAAGUAACUGUGCACAUCUUGACGGUACCUAAUCAGAAAGCCACGGCUAACUACGUGCCAGCAGCCGCGGUAAUACGUAGGUGGCAAGCGUUAUCCGGAAUUAUUGAGCGUAAAGCGCGCGUAGGCGGUUUUUUAAGUCUGAUGUGAAAGCCCACGGCUCAACCGUGGAGGGUCAUUGGAAACUGGAAAACUUGAGUGCAGAAGAGGAAAGUGGAAUUCCAUGUGUAGCGGUGAAAUGCGCAGAGAUAUGGAGGAACACCAGUGGCGAAGGCGACUUUCUGGUCUGUAACUGACGCUGAUGUGCGAAAGCGUGGGGAUCAAACAGGAUUAGAUACCCUGGUAGUCCACGCCGUAAACGAUGAGUGCUAAGUGUUAGGGGGUUUCCGCCCCUUAGUGCUGCAGCUAACGCAUUAAGCACUCCGCCUGGGGAGUACGACCGCAAGGUUGAAACUCAAAGGAAUUGACGGGGACCCGCACAAGCGGUGGAGCAUGUGGUUUAAUUCGAAGCAACGCGAAGAACCUUACCAAAUCUUGACAUCCUUUGACAACUCUAGAGAUAGAGCCUUCCCCUUCGGGGGACAAAGUGACAGGUGGUGCAUGGUUGUCGUCAGCUCGUGUCGUGAGAUGUUGGGUUAAGUCCCGCAACGAGCGCAACCCUUAAGCUUAGUUGCCAUCAUUAAGUUGGGCACUCUAAGUUGACUGCCGGUGACAAACCGGAGGAAGGUGGGGAUGACGUCAAAUCAUCAUGCCCCUUAUGAUUUGGGCUACACACGUGCUACAAUGGACAAUACAAAGGGCAGCGAAACCGCGAGGUCAAGCAAAUCCCAUAAAGUUGUUCUCAGUUCGGAUUGUAGUCUGCAACUCGACUACAUGAAGCUGGAAUCGCUAGUAAUCGUAGAUCAGCAUGCUACGGUGAAUACGUUCCCGGGUCU
rnacentral:rRNA from 1 species